rnacentral:rRNA from 1 species
UACAGAGGGGCAAGCGUUGUUCGGAAUUACUGGGCGUAAAGGGUGCGUAGGCGGCGCGGUAAGUCGGGUGUGAAAUCUCGGAGCUUAACUCCGAAACUGCAUUCGAUACUGCCGUGCUUGAGGACUGGAGAGGAGACUGGAAUUUACGGUGUAGCGGUGAAAUGCGUAGAUAUCGUAAGGAAGACCAGUGGCGAAGGCGGGUCUCUGGACAGUCCUGACGCUGAGGCACGAAGGUCAGGGGAGCAAACGGG